rnacentral:rRNA from 1 species
GUCCACGCCCUAACGAUGUUAACUCGAUAUUAUUCUUCGGAGUGAGUGUCCAAGCGAAAGCGUUAAGUUAACCACCUGGGAGUACGUUCGCAAGAAUGAAACUCAAAGGAAUUGACGGGUCCGCACAAGCGGUGGAGCAUGUGGUUUAAUUCGAUGAUACGCGAGGAACCUUACCUAGGCUAGAAUGCGAGUGCCGAUUCCUGAAAGGGAAUUUUCCUUCGGGACACAAAGCAAGGUGCUGCAUGGCUGUCGU